AGAGGAGUGCAUUUAAUUCUUCGCCCGAUGCCUCUGGUGAUAAUGUUGCCACCCGUACUCGUUCACGUCGGAAUUCCCUUUCACCAAAUGUUGCAAUGCCAGCAGUUGGCAUCACAGAUAAUCCUGAAUCUAUAAUCAGGAAGCAGAGGGUUAAAAGAUUGGCAAUACGAGGUUAGAAGUCACCAUUAGGCCGGAGAAUUGAAAAUGAUACUAGUAGUUGUUCAGUUCCUACAAGCGAUAGUACUCAGCCUAAUCAUGGAGUACAAGCAUCAGGAUUAGAUGACAGGGCACACUUAGCUAAGGAUGUUGUCAACAAUAAACUUAAGGAUGUGCCACCUAAGAAUACUGUUGAGUCAGCUUCAAGGACUGAUGAUGUUCAUGCACCUGUUACUCAUGCUAGUGGUCUGAAAGGUUCAUCCGGAAAAUCCAGUGAUAGCUUUGGUACCAAAGUAGCGGAUGUAUUAUCAGAACCUGCUGGCAAUAGUUCUGUUAAAGGUGAUGCUGAUUUG